GUGAAAAUAUUUUUCGCCUCCAAGUGAAGGACAAUACCGCCAUGGUGGAUGUUUUAAAAUAUCGGCCCUUGACGAUUUACUUGAAACUCCGCAGUAAAAUAACGAAGAUAAAUUCAACACAAGUGAACAGUGCUCAUUGAUACACUGGUAUGUGCAAGCUGCACAUAACGUCACAUCCAUGCUGCGAUGCUUGUCCAAUGGAGGCCAUUGAGAGGCCCAAUGCACACGAUUGUAGAGGUGUACGUAGUGCAUGUGCAGCACUGCAGUGCCAUUGCGGUGUGAUUUGCUGCAUAUAGGAAGUGAGUUCUAAUAAGUAUACGGAGUGGGUACGCAUGCGUUAACUGAUUUAAACGAAUGCAUUCAUCUUGUGUGGUGCAAUACGGCUUCGUCAUAUUCCAUUUUUUCCGGAAGGUUUAUUAUUGUUUACAAUGAAUGUGAAAUUCGUUGGAAAGCGAAUUUAAUGUCGUCGUAAAUGAGAAUGCGAACCACUUUCGUUCGAAACUCUCAUUCGACAUAAACAAGAAUAAGGGUGACCAUAUGACGUCAUCAGAUUAUCUUUUCAGUGAAAAAAAACCUAUUGCGAAAAUGGAAUUGCGUAGUGACGAAGCCGCACGUCACCUUACUUUAGCAUAAAUCAGUCAACGCAGAUGUACCAUAGGGGUGGUACGAUGAAAAGGCUCCAAGCACACGGUGAAGCAAAUUAUAGCGUAGGUGGCAUUGUAGAAUCUAAGCUGUUCAAGGUGAAUGUAUUGGAUUUCGACGAGAAUGUUUAAGGCGGUAGUUCUUUUUCGAUCCAGUGUUGAAGAUCGUAAUAGGGAUCUUUAGGGGUGUGCGGGUUAAGGCAUAUUCUGAUGCAGAUUAGUACCGUGAGUUAAUAUCUCAGUCCUUUUUCAAUUUUUUGGCCCGAAACUAUUGAAAAAAACAUUUUUUAGUUUGUUUCCUUUUAGGACAAUAACACAUCCAAACCCAUGCGACUUGCACGACCCUAUAGGUAGCCUUAUCAGAUCUACCAUAGUUUGCAGAUGAAACUUGAGAUGGCAGGUUGCUAGCGGAUUGACAAAGUACCAGAUCAUGCUGUGUGGGGUGCUGUCCCGGUUAACAAUGAGGCGAACGAGAUAUUUGCAGAUGCGUCAUUUAGUAGGGCAACUGUCAGUUUGCUGGUUGAGUUUAAUUUGGUU